rnacentral:rRNA from 1 species
UGAGGAAUAUUGGUCAAUGGACGCAAGUCUGAACCAGCCAAGUAGCGUGCAGGAUGACGGCCCUAUGGGUUGUAAACUGCUUUUAUAUGGGGAUAAAGUGGGGAACGUGUUCCCUUUUGCAGGUACCAUAUGAAUAAGGACCGGCUAAUUCCGUGCCAGCAGCCGCGGUAAUACGGAAGGUUCGGGCGUUAUCCGGAUUUAUUGGGUUUAAAGGGAGCGUAGGCCGUUUGGUAAGCGUGUUGUGAAAUGUAGGAGCUCAACUUCUAGAUUGCAGCGCAAACGGUCAGACUUAAGUGAGCACAGCGUAGGCGGAAUUCAUGGGGUAGCGGAGAAAUGCUUAGAUAUGACACAGAACUCCGAUGGCGAAGGGGGCGUACUACAUUACAACUGACACUAAAGCACAAAAGCGGGGGUAUCAAACAGG